rnacentral:rRNA from 1 species
GACCAAGGGUUCCUGUCCAACGUUAAUCGGGGCAGGGUGAGUCGACCCCUAAGGCGAGGCCGAAAGGCGUAGUCGAUGGGAAACAGGUUAAUAUUCCUGUACUUGGUGUUACUGCGAAGGGGGGACGGAGAAGGCUAUGUUGGCCGGGCGACGGUUGUCCCGGUUUAAGCGUGUAGGCUGGUUUUCCAGGCAAAUCCGGAAAAUCAAGGCUGAGGCGUGAUGACGAGGCACUACGGUGCUGAAGCGACAAAUGCCCUGCUUCCAGGAAAAGCCUCUAAGCAUCAGGUAACAUCAAAUCGUACCCCAAACCGACACAGGUGGUCAGGUAGAGAAUACCAAGGCGCUUGAGAGAACUCGGGUGAAGGAACUAGGCAAAAUGGUGCCGUAACUUCGGGAGAAGGCACGCUGAUAUGUAGGUGAAGCGACUUGCUCGUGGAGCUGAAAUCAGUCGAAGAUACCAGCUGGCUGCAACUGUUUAUUAAAAACACAGCACUGUGCAAACACGAAAGUGGACGUAUACGGUGUGACGCCUGCCCGGUGCCGGAAGGUUAAUUGAUGGGGUUAGCGGUAACGCGAAGCUCUUGAUCGAAGCCCCGGUAAACGGCGGCCGUAACUAUAACGGUCCUAAGGUAGCGAAAUUCCUUGUCGGGUAAGUUCCGACCUGCACGAAUGGCGUAAUGAUGGCCAGGCUGUCUCCACCCGAGACUCAGUGAAAUUGAACUCGCUGUGAAGAUGCAGUGUACCCGCGGCAAGACGGAAAGACCCCGUGAACCUUUACUAUAGCUUGACACUGAACAUUGAGCCUUGAUGUGUAGGAUAGGUGGGAGGCUUUGAAGUGUGGACGCCAGUCUGCAUGGAGCCGACCUUGAAAUACCACCCUUUAAUGUUUGAUGUUCUAACGUGGGCCCCUUACCGGGGUUGCGGACAGUGUCUGGUGGGUAGUUUGACUGGGGCGGUCUCCUCCUAAAGAGUAACGGAGGAGCACGAAGGUUGGCUAAUCCUGGUCGGACAUCAGGAGGUUAGUGCAAUGGCAUAAGCCAGCUUGACUGCGAGCGUGACGGCGCGAGCAGGUGCGAAAGCAGGUCAUAGUGAUCCGGUGGUUCUGAAUGGAAGGGCCAUCGCUCAACGGAUAAAAGGUACUCCGGGGAUAACAGGCUGAUACCGCCCAAGAGUUCAUAUCGACGGCGGUGUUUGGCACCUCGAUGUCGGCUCAUCACAUCCUGGGGCUGAAGUAGGUCCCAAGGGUAUGGCUGUUCGCCAUUUAAAGUGGUACGCGAGCUGGGUUUAGAACGUCGUGAGACAGUUCGGUCCCUAUCUGCCGUGGGCGCUGGAGAACUGAGGGGGGCUGCUCCUAGUACGAGAGGACCGGAGUGGACGCAUCACUGGUGUUCGGGUUGUCAUGCCAAUGGCACUGCCCGGUAGCUAAAUGCGGAAGAGAUAAGUGCUGAAAGCAUCUAAGCACGAAACUUGCCCCGAGAUGAGUUCUCCCUGACUCCUUGAGAGUCCUGAAGGAACGUUGAAGACGACGACGUUGAUAGGCCGGGUGUGUAAGCGCAGCGAUGCGUUGAGCUAACCGGUACUAAUGAACC